CUAACUUUUAUACUGUUGUUUGUACAAUAUAAUUUUUUGUGUGUUAAAUCUUCACAAAAUGUCAAAUUCCGUGGGUAAUCCCGAUAGCCCCCCUCCCCCCACUGGGGCAAACCACUGACAAGGCAUCAUGCAAAGACAUCAGGCAAAGACAUUAAUUAUUCAAAGCAAACUUGCCCUAUAUUAUACGAUUUCCCACAGUAAAUAAGUUCUUCUCAUUUCUUUAAGCAAAAAUUGCUUUAAACUCUUGUACAUGAAAUAAUUUUCCAAAUAUUUGUCUUUCAAAAUUGAAUUCUUGCUUAUCCCACUCCUGGCAAUCCGCCAUAUUUUUGAGAUCGAUCAGUGAGGAGGUCCAUCCAUACGCCAUGACACCACUUUGGGCCAUUGAACUAUUAGUAAACUAGAACGUUUACUCCUAUAAUAGAGGCCUAUGUUUGGGCGGAGCCAAAUUUCGGGCGCUCAAGUACAGCCUGUUCGCAGGUAUAUGUAUACGAAAAUAAAUACUGAUUUUUUUUACGAAGUAUUUUUACUAAUUUAUUCCCUAAUCUUAACUUAUUAAAGUACGUUUCUGAAUGUGUGGACAUCCAUUAACAACUGUAUCUAAGAUUUUUCUGCAUAAAUUGUAUAAAAUUGUCUCAGAACGCUUUCUGCAAAGUCUAAAAACUCAGAAAAACCAUACAUUUUCGCUCGGUUUUUUGCCGAGUUUCGUUUUGUUCGUGUCAUAUUUCGGGGUUAAACAAUAUUUACUUAUUUCAUGUGCCUUAGAUAAAAGUUGUGUUGUCUAAGUGUGCUCUAGGAUAAAUAUAAAUGCCUUGAAAAAGUAAAAAGGAGAAAAUAUUAACGAUUUUUAAGCUGUAUCUUUCACAUCCAUUUUGUAAAAAAGGACUGGGGCUACCUGCAGAAAACACUCAUGGCCGGCUUCAAAGAUGGCGGCGAACUUAUCGUUCCAGUUUACUUAUAGAUCAAUGCUUUGGACUUCGCUAAUGCUUUCGUUUCCCUGGGUGUAAAUAGCCGGGCGGAAUUAGUACCCUCGCACGGCGCUUCGCGCUGUCACGGAUUAUAGAUCAUACCAGAUGUCUCACUCAUACAUAUCCGUCGGCCGCCAUUUUGGCAGUAAGUGUAAUUCACGCCAUGAAACGUGAUCAUGACGCGAGCAAUAACGCCAUCUUAAGUCACAAACCGAGAAAUUAACUGGACGUAAAUGAAAGAAUUAACAUUUUAUUUUAAUAUUUUGUUGUUUGUAAGUGAAAAAACGUGAGUAAAAAU